ACUCAAUAGGAUUAAGCUCACAGUGAUAGGGAGGUAGACGCAAAACUGUGUGACCUGCUUUCGAAGCCAAAUCGUCUAUUACAUAUUUAGGACGAGGUUUAUGUUGCUUCACCAAUGUGAUCAAUUCAGCCUUGAUCAUUCCCGGAGUGUAAUGAAUACCCUUUCUAUCAAGCCAAGACUGGAUCUCGGCCUUCGAUGCCGACGAAGUCGGACACUUAGACUCAGGAUCCAGAUGACUGUGAUAGGAAGCAUUAUCCAUCACUACGACUGAAUUGGUCGGUAGGUUAGGGAGCAACUGCUCAGUGAACCACUUCGUAAAGUUUUCUGAGUUCAUCUCGUCAUGAUAAUCCUGGUUGCCUGUUUUCGACUCAAAAAUGAGAGCAGAUCCCGGGAUCAUACCCACAGCCGAAGAACCUGCAUCCACAAUUAUCAGACGAGAGCCUUUCCCAGAUGGGACAAAACGCCCAUGACCUCCACGAUGCGACUCAAAGGCAGAGGUAGAUGUCCUAGGACAGUCCACCCAAUCUCCCCUCGCUACAUGAUUGGUGUUCAACCAAGUCUCAUCCAAAUACACAAUAGGACGACCCUCCUCUCUAAACUUCCUAAUGGACCUCAGACAGAUUGAAGGUGACUUGGCAGUAUUGCAGUAGGAAAAUGAGAUUCAUCUCUAUGUGCUUACCUGAACCCAAGAUCCUUCACAAGUCUCCCCAAUGGAGACUUUGUGAUCCUGACUCCCUUUUCUACUAGUACAUCUGACAGUCGACGAAGUGAAACGUACUGGCCCUUCAACUGCAUAUCAUGAAUGGUCCUCUUCACCAAAUCUGCAUCGAAGUCAUCAAGCUUUCUACAGGGACCACGUUUCUUCUUAGGAACAGGUACAGGAGGAGCUGCCUGAAGAUCCUCCACCACCAUCUCCACAGGGUCGACAACAACCUUCUUUUUCAGUGUUUUCACACUUAUCCCUAAUGAUGUUAAAAAAUAUUCUACUACCCAUUUGUAUUUAUUAAGCUACAUGUACCUGAGUCACUCAGCCUCACAUGAUAUUUUUUGAUGUUGAUUUUUGUCUAUUAUUGUGCACUAUCCUUCAAAAAUCAUCUAUAGAAACAGUUUUCAAAUAAUAUCAUGGGCAAGUGUAUUUAGCUCACCGAGACAAAGUCUGGGGGAGCUUAUGCUAUACCCCGGCGUUGGCGUCAGCGUCCAGACCUGAUUCAAGUUUUUGGUGCACUAGGUCCUGUAUCUAAGUUAUUACUAUCUUCACCAAACUUGCACGGAUGCUACUUAGGGACUUGAAAGACUUGGAUAUGAUAUGUUUUUAUAUUGUAUUAUAUAAUAUUAUAAUGUAUUACUUGUAUAUUGUAUCAUAUAAGAUAUUAUUGUAUAAUAUGAUUUUGUAUUACAUAAUAUAUUAUUGUAUCCCAUGAUAAUGUAUCAUACGAUAUUCAAUAUUGUAUCAAACCAUAUUACAGUUUCUGAUAUCCAAGAUUAUUAACUAUGAUUUUCAUAUAAUAUGAUAAAGGUGGUCUCAUAAAGCUGAUGCCUCGUCUCGGUGAGCUUUGUAAUAAGCUAUAUAUUACAACAUGCAGCAAUAUACUUUAGGCCACAUACUGGUAACAGUAUUGUUCUGGUGAGUAUUGUCAACCAAUAUGUAAAUGCUGAUUUUACAAUCACUUAAGGUAAAACACAGUAAUUUCAACAGUUGUCAUGUUGUAAAUUUUGUGUUUACACCCACCCAGUAAAUUCAAAAUUAACAUUACAUUAUGACAGAAAUACCAGUAUCGAAAUAUAUCACUUGAUACAUUUUGUACCAUGAUUAAAAAAUAAUGAAAUUCUGAUUUUCAACACACUAUUUUUCCAUAGUUAUAAAUGUAGCCAUUUUAUGCAAAUUUUUUUCUGUUACCUGUUGCUGAAGAUAAUCUCUUCAUGGGGUCGUCAAUGUUUCUCACAUGGCCUUCUUCUUUUUCUUUUUGAAAUUGGAUGUAAAUUAUCUUUAAAAUAUCUGUUGCCUGAGGAAGAAAAUUGAUAUUGCACAUGUGUAAUAUACUAUGCAAGCUGAUACAAGCUUUCAUAAUUACCGAUAACAUUUAGUAUACUGGUAUAAUGUAUGUACCUAGGUAUAGGGUUAACUUUAGACUCUACCAGGAGCACUAAUUUUAGCCCAACUUUUCCACUAAUCAUUUUCAGUUGAAAGAUUGUCAAGAUCUCACAUCAAUAUUAAUUUUUCUUAAUUGCAAAUUUCAUGAUUCCUUGGUUAAACUUUUACAGAGAAAUAGAGAGUAAUUUUUUAAAAUCUUAUUUUGCCAGAAUAGGAUGGAACAAAGAAUAUUGACCUGGGUUUAAAAUUGACCCGAGAGUCAUAUUUCAAUGUUGAAUACUGAUUUGGGGUGCUUUUUUCAAUGUUUUCGCAAUGAAAAGGAUAACAGCAAUACAUUAUUUUGCAGAAUUGCUUUAAAUGGCUACAAAGGUAUAGCUGUUACCUACAUAUUAUUUGGGAAAUAAAUUGUAAAACUCUUA